AAGGGAGAGCUGCAGACCCAUUCAACUGUGAGCCACUGCUGCUGGUGCUGGCUAUACCUCCCAUUGUCCUUCCUUUAUGUGCGGAGUGGGGAGCGCGCACUGCAGGGCAUGGAAGCGCCCAUGCAAUCUCUUGCAUUUUUUCCUGUCAACAGUGUAAACAACUUAAAAUACUCCAUCAUUUCUGGUCAUACAGAUAAGAAUAAUACAUUAUUCAAAGCUUAAAUUAUUUGUGUAAACUCACAAUAUCAAGAAAACGUUGUGCUUUUGCAAAAUAAACCACCACAAAAAGGACUGUUUUAAAGGUUAUAUCUGCUAUGAAUAUGAAGUUUGAAGAUUGUUGUAUUGUACUGAAUCUUCUAUAAAGAUGAAUAUGACAUUUCGUUAAUUUAAAAAUAAGCACUUUAAUGUUGUAUAAAUAAAUAAUCAACUUUUGUUCUGUUAGAUGUGUUUUGACUACUUUUUGUAUGUUGUAUAAUUAUAAUAUAUAUCUAGGUAAUGAAGAUAUAUUAACAAAAAAAAUAAAUAAAUAAAUAAAUAAAUAAAUAAAAAUCCAUGUAUAUAAAUAUAAACAAAAACACAAAAACAAAAACCGCUUGAUCGAUUCAGGAAAGCAGCUGCUUGAUAAAGUGGACAAAGUUAAUGGCGAUUUCAAAUUGUCCACAAACUCAAUGUGAUGGCCACAAAGAUCACACCACAAGACUGAACUUCAUUCAUUAACAGACGCUAAGUACCGUUGCCAUGAAAAACAAAGCGUUGCUAUGGACGCAGGAUUCUAACCUUAGAGACGGAAAGGGCUAUAUUUUCUUUAUUAUUUUCUUUAUUAUUUUUUCACAUUAUCCCUUACAUAAUAUAACAUAAUUAUUAGUAUUAUAACGCAAUAUAAAAAACGUUUAACACCUAACUGUUAUAUGACAAAUUCUAAAUCUGGCAGUGGGUAUAUAAGCUCACACACAGCGUACUCACACCUCACUCACUCAGUGGACAUCCCAACUGUCAGUUUCUCUGAGACCCUGCCCUACAGACAGACUAGCACGAUGUCAUCUCAGAAGAGAAAAAAACACAUAGCUGUGUCACACAACUGGAUGCCUGCAGAAGCUAGGAAAAGAGAAUACAAACGACUAUGGCAGAGGGUGCAAAGGAAAAUGAGAAGUGUGCACAUUAACGCAGCUGGUCCUAGUACUGUGCUAGACAGUGAAGCACACAAUCCCAGGGACACUAUGCCAAUCUGGAACCCAGGCCUAAAAAAUGCAAUGACUGGAGAAUCUAAUAGUGACAGCGAUGAAAUGUCGUUUGUCAAUACUGACAUCA
ensembl:lncRNA